GUGGUUCUGCCAAAGAUUAAUAGGGAAUGGGGUGCGACUCCCCGACUGUCCCGCAGCUGUGAGUUGUCCUUUUCACGGGCUGCAAGCACACACGUCACUGAUAUUUUCGGGAAGACGCUUGCAGCCGACAACGAGUCAGAAGACCUGCCACGAC
rnacentral:ncRNA from 1 species